ensembl:lncRNA
AUGUGCAUAGUCUAUGUCGGGAAACAAAAACUCCGACAAGCAAAUUGGAGAAGGGGUUUAGGCUGUAUGCUUCGACCUACAUUCACAGCUACGAAGCCUCAGUCACCUCCCUUUUACCUGUAUUGUGACUUGUGCAACUACGCAACGGUUGCUCUACCGGAGGGCGUCGUAACUAAUCCCUGGCACUCAGCUGACAGGUUUGUUUAGUUUCCUCUUUGGGUGCAGUUCAAUAACUGCACCAACUUCCUGUAAGACAACCUGAUGUGUGUGGAUAUCCAAUGCCCUAAUGUGUUCUCUGUGCUCUCUUUUUAGAGUAGUGUUCUUGUCUGGGCCGUAUCUUUGGGAGGCGCGGUUUGGUGGUUUGACGUGUACUUGCAUGUAGAUAAGUAGGGUGCUACCUGCUCAAUUCAUACAUUUAAAAUUUUUACAAUUGUUUAUUGAUAGUAUUUUGUUCUAGGACCAGCAUUGGUGGAGUUGGAGACGGUCACAUUCUGGCGCUGGCGCUUCAGUGCUCCUAUUUUCAUCUCAUAGAAUAAUAACAUGACUUUUUUCAACCAUUUAAAAAUAAACUUUUGUAGACUUGAACUGGAAACACGUCUCUGUAAGUCUUUACACAAAUCUGUAUUAUAAAUGUUGUUUGUUUUUGUACUAUUGGUGUGGUCACAUUCAUAUAUAUAAAUUCUGAUAAGACAUGGACAUCCCCAACUCCAAUUACACCAUCUCUCAACAUGCCACUACUUGAUUAAUAGGACAUGUGUCCUAUUAAUCAUUCACAGACCUAUUAAGAAAUAAUUUGGUACAGUACUAUAAAUUAAUCUGUAAGGUAAAGCUAUUUUCUGACCAACAAUGUCCCUGACUGACACAUAUCCCUGUCACGUAGGGACUAGGCUAAUAACAGACUAAUACAAAAAAUGUGACUGUGAAAAAGUGACUUCCCUUGCGUAAAUUCGGAUGUCUGCGUCGGAGCCAGCAAACCGCUGCAGUCCAAACUCUCGCUGGAGACGUAACUCCUGUAGCUCCUUUCUCAGCUCCUGUACUUCAUUUGAGACGCUUUCAGCAGCGGAUGCGGACAUAUCCAUGGCAGUCGGUUCAGAGAGAGCAGUAGUCUUGAUCGUUGAAUAGGAGAUCAACUUCAUCUUCCGGAGGGGCAGUUUCGACGAACCGAUCAACUCUCUCCCACACGCCGCGCCUUGGGGUUUCGACUGUAUACUGGUUCCACUCAAAAAGGGUCGCUACGGCACCUUUUGCAAGUCUCCUUCGACCCUGAGGAGUAGUUGGCUCAAUCAACUUGUCGGGACUAAAGUGUCUGCUACAGACCUUGGAGUGAGUGGUGAUGACAUAUGCAUCCCGGCGUAUGUUCACAAUCCAUCGACUCCUCACGUCAGUUUGGCUCGGAAAGCCAUGAAAACGUAAUACCCCGUUGAAUUUUGCUGACGCUGUACAGUGGGGGACACAGCAGUGCUCUGUGUAGGUUGUCUCCUGCCUCUGAAAAGGUCCAGUUUUAAGGUGUUUGCGGUCUUGAUCCAUGUUUACAGUAUCAAAGUCAGCAGGCUAGCGCGAUAAACACACAGACCGGAAGCAACCGAGCUGUAUUAUUUGAAACAGGAAGUACGUCACACAGCUUAGUGCAUACACCCUAUGGCGAGGCGCACACAGCCUUUAGCCGUGUUCUGUAAAUAUUCUAGAACACACGCGAGUCCUGGAGCUCUAUGUCUAAAUAAUAUCAUAUAGCCUACAUAGAUAUCUAUAUCAUAUAAUACAUAUUAUCACGGCCAAAAGCUCUGUGAGCCGAUAUUAUGUAUCUCAAACGACUGCGUUGGGUUCUCCGACGUUCCUGGUUCUUCCACGUCCACAUCAAUGUGAAGUAGACUGAACCGCGACAAGUAGGAGAAAGGGAUUGUUGCCGGGCAGCGCUUAGGCACCUCCGCCUCCGGCGGUGGUUCCUCAGAGGGGCUCAAGCGGGAGACAUUCGCCGCCAUCAAUCCCUUUCUCUUCCAUGCCGUGGUUCAUGUUCUUGAGGGAGUCAAAGCCAAAGUUCAUUUCCCCCCCAAUUCAUUCUCAACCAUGGCUGAGAUAACCCCCACUACGAGACUCGUUGUAGAAAUACCAGAGACGAGAGUCCGACGUGUUAUGCGCCAUAACACCAAAAGCAGAACGGUUAUCCAAAUAACAAGGAAGUGUACAACACUUUCGUUACAGUCCUGGAGCUCUAUAUCUAAAUAAUAUCAUAUAAUACAUAGAUAUCUAUAUCAUAUAAUACAUAUUAUCACGGCCAAAAGCUGUGUGCGCCUCCAGACGAUAUUAUGAAUCACAGACGACUUCGUCGGGUUCUGCGACGUCUCUGUUUCUUCCACUUUCACGACUGAACCGCGCGCUGCCUGCUGCCGGCUACCGGCUGCCCGCUGCCGGGCGGUGGUGCUUCGCGGCAACCGGCGGCAUGUCGCAGUUCAUGUACUUCAGGGAGCCAAAAGCCAAAGUUCCUUUCCCCCAAUUCCUUCUCAACCACGGCUGAGAUAACCCCCACUACAGUCUCGUUGUGGAAAUAGAAGAGACGUCAAAGAACCGACAAGAAACACUUGCGUUACCGUGCGUGUAUUCACACACACACACACACACGUGGCGCUCGCACGGCCGUGUCUCAUUGGCGGGCCAACGUCUCUGGGCGGGCCAGGCAGAGUAAGGGGAGGAGCUUAGAUGCUAUAUAUACUGUAUAUGUACAUAUAUAUAGAAAGUUGUCGCACAUGUUAAAACCCUUCCAGAAACUGUUAAUCUUUUCACAAUAAUAAUUUAAAUAAUUGCACUAUAUAUUGUU